GUGGAUUGGAGCUUGGGACAAGUUUAUGGAUCUGGAUGAGAGCUCGAAACAAGUUUACGACCUGGAUGAUAGCUUGGGACAAGAUUAAUGAGUGUAAUGUGCACUUCGAGAGUAUCAAGGCUAGAAUGAGAGCUCGGGACAAGUUUAAGGACUGCUUUGUGCAUUUUGAGGGUACGGGGACCGAGAUGAGAACUCGGGAUAAGUUUAAGGACCGCUGGUGAAAUUUACUCUUAAAUAAAAGACCAUAGCAUAGAAAUAGACAUUUCAAGAGAUAUGGGUGGGGGAGAAGAUAAGGUGAGGUGAGAAGAUAAGGUUGGAGCGUGUGGGUUUAAUUUUUUUGUUUGGCAUGUGAUGAGGACAUCGCCAUGCUGGACAUGCACGAGUCAUGGUCUUCCCUAAGUUAUAGUUCGUCACCAACUCGAUCGUCGCGUUCGUUUCGGAUUCAGCCAACACCUCUGCACGAUUUCGCCAUAUCUCCCUCAUACGACAUUGAAACGAGACAUUCUUUGAUGCGUUGGAAUGGGGAUGAUGAUACUGUUCUUUUGGUUCUGGUCCCAGCUCUAGAAGGUUUGUGGAUCAUUCUGUGUAACUACGACAAAAGGGCUACGUCACCAGUUUCGGGCCAACUUGGCCUUGUAUCAUGUCAGGCCUUAAGCCCAAGUUGUGGGCGCCUC
rnacentral:lncRNA from 1 species